UACGUAGGGUGCAAGCGUUGUCCGGAAUUAUUGGGCGUAAAGAGCUCGUAGGCGGUUUGUCGCGUCUGCUGUGAAAACCCGAGGCUCAACCUCGGGCCUGCAGUGGGUACGGGCAGACUAGAGUGCGGUAGGGGGAGAUUGGAAUUCCUGGUGUAGCGGUGGAAAUGCGCAGAUAUCAGGAGGAACACCAAUGGCGAAGGCAGGUCUCUGGGCAUUAACUGACGCUGAGGAGCGAAAGCAUGGGGAGCGAACAGG
rnacentral:rRNA from 1 species